rnacentral:rRNA from 1 species
GACGUAGGGCGCGAGCGUUGUCCGGAUUUACUGGGCGUAAAGGGCGCGUAGGCGGCCAGCGCAAGUCAGUUGUGAAAUCUCCGGGCUUAACUCGGAACGGUCAGGUGAUACUGAUCUGCUAGAGUGCGGAAGGGGCAAUCGGAAUUCUUGGUGUAGCGGUGAAAUGCGUAGAUAUCAAGAGGAACACCUGAGGUGAAGACGGGUUGCUGGGCCGACACUGACGCUGACAGCGCGAAAGCCAGGGGAGCAAACGGG